AGUCAUGAGCAGCUCACAUGCUUCUGAGGAAGCUCAGGAAAAGUGUAUGGCUAAUGCUUCUUCCAUAGACACUUGUCCCCUCUGUGAAAUGUUUCUGCAGCAUCCAGCUUGGGUGCUGUGUGGGCACAGUUACUGCACGGCCUGUGUUGCCUGGUUAUUAAGGAAUAUCCUUGAUCCAGAGUGUUUAAUUUGUGGAAAGAAGAUAGUCACAGAUGAUGCAAUUUUUAAUUUUGGCUCU